rnacentral:tRNA from 1 species
GGGUCGUUAGCUCAAUGGUAGAGCAGGCGCCUUUUAAGCACUUGGUUGUAGGUUCGAGUCCUACACGACCCACCA